AAAAUCCGUCGACUUUCUAAGUCGUGAG
rnacentral:tRNA from 20 species